rnacentral:tRNA from 1 species
GGGAUCGUCGUCUAACGGCAGGGCCUCAGCCUUCCAAGCUGAUGAUGAGGGUUCGACUCCCUCCGAUCGCUCCA